UUCUUUGGAUGAGGCGCAAAGGACAAUAGUACGUAUUUGGGUUUGAACUGUAAUUUACAAAUAUGGAAAGGGAAAUUUGCCGAAACACUUUACAAGUUACAGCUUAUAAAGUGUUGGGUUGUAAAUGAAUAAUUUGCAAACUGUCAGAGCAUUUAGCGUUGAUGAGCUUCCCUUGUA
rfam:Atopostipes suicloacalis DSM 15692 genome assembly, contig: EJ15DRAFT_scaffold00014.14